UGGGGAAUAUUGCACAAUGGGGGAAACCCUGAUGCAGCGACGCCGCGUGGAGGAAGAAGGUCUUCGGAUUGUAAACUCCUGUUGUUGAGGAAGAUAAUGACGGUACUCAACAAGGAAGUGACGGCUAACUACGUGCCAGCAGCCGCGGUAAAACGUAGGUCACAAGCGUUGUCCGGAAUUACUGGGUGUAAAGGGAGCGCAGGCGGGAGAACAAGUUGGAAGUGAAAUCCAUGGGCUCAACCCAUGAACUGCUUUCAAAACUGUUUUUCUUGAGUAGUGCAGAGGUAGGCGGAAUUCCCGGUGUAGCGGUGGAAUGCGUAGAUAUCGGGAGGAACACCAGUGGCGAAGGCGGCCUACUGGGCACCAACUGACGCUGAGGCUCGAAAGUGUGGGUAGCAAACAGGAUUAGAUACCCUGGUAGUCCAUGCCGUAAACGAUGAUUACUAGGUGUUGGAGGAUUGACCCCUUCAGUGCCGCAGUUAACACAAUAAGUAAUCCACCUGGGGAGUACGACCGCAAGGUUGAAACUCAAAGGAAUUGACGGGGGCCCGCACAAGCAGUGGAGUAUGUGGUUUAAUUCGACGCAACGCGAAGAACCUUACCAAGUCUUGACAUCCUGCGACGAACAUAGAAAUAUGUUUUUCCUUCGGGACGCAGAGACAGGUGGUGCAUGGUUGUCGUCAGCUCGUGUCGUGAGAUGUUGGGUUAAGUCCCGCAACGAGCGCAACCCUUAUGGUCAGUUACUACGCAAGAGGACUCUGGCCAGACUGCCGUUGACAAAACGGAGGAAGGUGGGGAUGACGUCAAAUCAUCAUGCCCUUUAUGACUUGGGCUACACACGUACUACAAUGGCGUUAAACAAAGAGAAGCAAGACCGCGAGGUGGAGCAAAACUCAGAAACAACGUCCCAGUUCGGACUGCAGGCUGCAACUCGCCUGCACGAAGUCGGAAUUGCUAGUAAUCGCAGAUCAGCAUGCUGCGGUGAAUACGUUCCC
rnacentral:rRNA from 1 species